rnacentral:rRNA from 1 species
UACGGGGGGGGCGAGCGUUGUUCGGAGUUACUGGGCGUAAAGGGCGCGUAGGCGGUCUGCUAAGUUGGGUGUGAAAACUCUGGGCUUAACCCAGAGCCUGCAUUCGAAACUGACGGGCUAGAGUGCUGGAGGGGGAAGCGGAAUUCCUGGUGUAGCGGUGAAAUGCGUAGAUAUCAGGAGGAACACCGGUGGCGAAGGCGGCUUCCUGGACAGAAACUGACGCUGAGGCGCGAAAGCUAGGGGAGCAAACAGG